GAUCAUGGCUCAGGAUGAACGCUGGCGGCGUGCCUAACACAUGCAAGUCGAACGAAGCAAUUGAAGGAAGUUUUCGGAUGGAAUUCGAUUGACUGAGUGGCGGACGGGUGAGUAACGCGUGGAUAACCUGCCUCACACUGGGGGAUAACAGUUAGAAAUGACUGCUAAUACCGCAUAAGCGCACAGUACCGCAUGGUACGGUGUGAAAAACUCCGGUGGUGUGAAAUGGAUCCGCG
rnacentral:rRNA from 1 species